rnacentral:rRNA from 1 species
CGGACGGGUGAGUAAUGUCUGGGAAACUGCCUGAUGGAGGGGGAUAACUGCUGGAAACGGUAGCUAAUACCGCAUAACGUCGCAAGACCAAAGAGGGGGACCUUCGGGCCUCUUGCCAUCGGAUGUGCCCAGAUGGGAUUAGUUAGUAGGUGGGGUAACGGCUCACCUAGGCGACGAUCCCUAGCUGGUCUGAGAGGAUGGCCAGCCACACUGGAACUGAGACACGGUCCAG